AUUGAACGCUGGCGGCAGGCCUAACACAUGCAAGUCGAACGAGUGGCGGACGGGUGAGUAAUGUCUGGGAAACUGCCCGAUGGAGGGGGAUAACUACUGGAAACGGUAGCUAAUACCGCAUACCAUCGGAUGUGCCCAGGUGGGAUUAGCUAGUAGGUGGGGUAACGGCUCACCUAGGCGACGAUCCCUAGCUGGUCUGAGAGGAUGACCAUCAACACUGGAACUGAGACACGGUCCAGACUCCUACGGUAGGCAGCAGUGGGGAAUAUUGCAGAAUGGGCGCGAGCCUGAUGCAGCCGUGCCGCGUGUAUGAAGAAGGCCUUCGGGUUGUAAAGUACUUUCAGCGGGGAGGCGUUACCCGCAGAAGAGGCAGCGGCUAACUCCGUGCCAGCAGCCGCGGUAAUUC
rnacentral:rRNA from 1 species